CAAUAGCGUAUAUUAAAGUUGUUGCAGUUAAAAAGCUCGUAGUUGGAUUUCUGGUGGGAGCGAUCGGUCUGGCGCUUAGCGCGAGUACUUGCAUCGUCUCCGGCCAUCCUUGGGGAGAGUCUGUCUGGCAUUAAGUUGUCGGGCAGAGGAUCCUCAUCGUUUACUUUGAAAAAAUUAGAGUGUUCAAAGCAGGCUUAUGCCGUUGAAUAUAUUAGCAUGGAAUAAUAAGAUAGGACUUUGGUACUAUUUUGUUGGUUUGCGCACCAAAGUAAUGAUUAAUAGGGACAGUUGGGGGUAUUCGUAUUCCGUUGUCAGAGGUGAAAUUCUUGGAUUUACGGAAGACGAACUACUGCGAAAGCAUUUACCAAGGAUGUUUUCAUUAA
rnacentral:rRNA from 1 species